AACCCAUGUUGAGGACAUUUUCGCAGGAGCUCCUUGAACCUAUCCCUAUGUCUCAAAAAGAUACUCCAAUUCCGUUUGCACAAAGGAGGAUAUUUCAUUCCUGAGCUU